rnacentral:rRNA from 1 species
UACAGGGGGGGCAAGCGUUGUUCGGAAUUACUGGGCGUAAAGGGUCUGUAGGUGGCCAACUAAGUCAGACGUGAAAUCCCUCAGCUUAACUGGGGAACUGCGUCUGAUACUGGAUGGCUUGAGUGUGGGAGAGGAAUGCGGAAUUCCAGGUGUAGCGGUGAAAUGCGUAGAUAUCUGGAGGAACACCGGUGGCGAAGGCGGCAUUCUGGACCAUAACUGACACUGAGACGCGAAAGCGUGGGUAGCAAACAGGG